UGCCCGGUGAUGACACCCAUCCUUGCUCCCCGUGCCCUCCCAGCAGGGCUUUGGGCGACAUCCUGGCUGCCCCUGGGCAGGGCCGGUUGGGCUGAUGCCUGGGGGCUGAGGGCA
rnacentral:snoRNA from 12 species